UCGGGCCAUGCCGGCGAGGACCACCACCACUCCAGCCGCCGGCGAUUGAGCAGCCUGUGGUGCGGCGGUGAUCGUUGCAGGCUGGCCGCCACGUCCUGCAGCAAGCAGGCGCAGAUGUCAGUUUUAAGGGUCGCCACGUCCUACAGCAACCAACUCGAUCAUGAGUCCGGCGGCGGCAGCACUUCGCCCUAGAGCCGAUCAUCAGCCGAUGCAAAUCUUCUUCCUUCGCAUGUAAAACCCCUAGGGGCGAUCCGCUUUGAUCCGUUACCUGAUUUAAGGGGCGGAGCGAGUCCAGGAAGGGAUCGAACCGGACACCUUGCAGGCCGAAUCGGCUGCCUGUUCCAAGGCCUGGACAAGUUUUGGGCUUGGUGGGGACAAAGGGUAUUGGGAAGUCAACUGCACUUAAAAUUCUGGCUGGGAAGAUGAAGCCCAACUUGGGUAAAUUCACGG